CCUGCCGAACGGCGAUUCGGUAUGUCGCUUUGGUCGCAUGAUGUAGACAGCACAUACGGGUUCUCCUAGAAGACAGCAUAUGCAUUUAUUGUCUCCGUCUUGACAAACGCAUCAUGAUAAGGCGAAUUUACGAUCAGCGUAACCAAUUUUGUACUGUCUGUUUUUAUUAAUAUUACAGCGAAUUGAUCUAUUAUCAGCCUUCAAGGAAGAACAUUAUCCGCGCUGUUUGUUUUCGACAUUUCAAUGCGUGAUAUGAGCGUGUGAA